GUUUUUUUGGGUUGAAAUGACGUGGAAACAACGUUGAUUCAACCAGUUUUUUUUUUUUUGCCCAGUAGGAUUAUGACAGAAUUCAGCCAUUCUUUUUUUAAACUCAGGAGAAGGGCUGGUCUGGAUUGACAUCAGAAGUAAACAAUGAGUGUAUUGUUGUGUCAUCAUCUGGAUGUAACCGGUGUGUAAAAAUAUAUUGCCAAGUAUCCUGGAAGUGAAUUAUAAAUACAAACAGAACAAACUGUCUGUGUGAUGCCUCUUCAUUGACAUUGUAUUAUGUUGGUUGGCAUGGCACCCACAACAAUGCCUUUUUGUACACUUUCAGGGAGGUCAGGAAAAUGGCAUCCCUUGAGAGGGCAAAUAUGAGAUGUAUGUUAGGAGAAGUGUAAUAUUAUCAUAAGGCAGGGUUCCCCAACCCCAAGAAGGAGAGGUUAGGAGAAGUAUAAUAUUAUCAUAAGGCAGGGUUCCCCAACCCCAAGAAGGAGAGGUUAGGAGAAGUAUAAUAUUAUCAUAAGGCAGGGUUCCCCAACCCCAAGAAGGAGAGGUUAGGAGAAGUGUAAUAUUAUCAUGAGGCAGGGUUCCCCAACCCCAAGAAGGAGAGGUUAGAAGUGUAAUAUUAUCAUGAGGCAGGGUUCCCCAACCCCAAGAAGGAGAGGUUAGGAGAAGUGUAAUAUUAUCAUGAGGCAGGGUUCCCCAACCCCAAGAAGGACAGGUUAGGAGAAGUGUAAUAUUAUCAUAAGGCAGGG
ensembl:lncRNA